CUACACAUGCAAGUCGAACGGUAACAGGAAACAGCUUGCUGUUUCGCUGACGAGUGGCGGACGGGUGAGUAAUGUCUGGGAAACUGCCUGAUGGAGGGGGAUAACUACUGGAAACGGUAGCUAAUACCGCAUAACGUCGCAAGACCAAAGAGGGGGACCUUCGGGCCUCUUGCCAUCAGAUGUGCCCAGAUGGGAUUAGCUAGUAGGUGGGGUAACGGCUCACCUAGGCGACGAUCCCUAGCUGGUCUGAGAGGAUGACCAGCCACACUGGAACUGAGACACGGUCCAGACUCCUACGGGAGGCAGCAGUGGGGAAUAUUGCACAAUGGGCGCAAGCCUGAUGCAGCCAUGCCGCGUGUAUGAAGAAGGCCUUCGGGUUGUAAAGUACUUUUCAGCGGGGA
rnacentral:rRNA from 1 species